ACUCUCAGUAACGGAUAUCUUGGCUCUUGCAACGAUGAAGAACGCAGCGGAAUGCGAUACGUAGUGUGAAUUGCGGAAUUCCGCGAAUCAUCGAGUUUUUGAACGCAAGUUGCGCCCGAGGCUUGUCCGAGGGCAUUUCCGCUAGAGCGUCA
rnacentral:rRNA from 1 species